GCUAGCGCGAAUCGGUUAUAGGGAAUUUACAUGAUUCAACUUUCACAGCCGACCAACUGCGUUGAAAGCGAUUAGUUGAAAGGCAAUUGUUGCUUUCAACCAAAAAUCGCCUCACGUAAAUUUCCUAUUGGGACCAAAUUCUAUUUUAUGUCGUUUUUGACGCCUAGAUGGCGCUGGGAGACUGUUUCAGAUUGCUUUACUUCUUUCUUUUGGUCUAGUCAGCAACAAUUCUCUUCGUAUAACUCCACAAUGUAAACAACGCAAGUGCGAGCGAGACAAUCACAUCCUAAAGUCAACUGUGAAAAAUCAUAGGAAAAGUUUUUCGACGAAGACGCAGUGAAGCAGUCACGCGAGGCAAACAUCAGCAAGCUGAAUAAUUUUUUCAUUCGAGGUUUGCGUGACGCUCGGACGCAGUGAACAUCCAAGGUUUAACUUUCUUCGUCUUUGGACAAACGGUUUGCUGUGUGCGCGACAUUUUAUGGAGUUUAAUUGCGUUGCUUUGUUUGAUACAACAGGAUUAAUGUGCUAUGCUCCAAGUGUAUAAUAUGCAAUAUUUGUGAAAUUAUCUAAUUUCGGUGUACUUAG